rnacentral:rRNA from 1 species
UACGAAGGGGGCUAGCGUUGUUCGGAAUUACUGGGCGUAAAGCGUGCGCAGGCGGCUUCUCAAGUCAGGGGUGAAAGCCCAGAGCUCAACUCUGGAAUUGCCUUUGAGACUGAGUGGCUUGAGUACGAGAGAGGUGAGUGGAAUUCCCAGUGUAGAGGUGAAAUUCGUAGAUAUUGGGAAGAACACCAGUGGCGAAGGCGGCUUACUGGACCGGUUCUGACGCUGAGGCGCGAAAGCGUGGGGAGCAAACAGG